rnacentral:rRNA from 1 species
UACGUAGGGUGCAAGCGUUGUCCGGAAUUACUGGGCGUAAAGCGCGUGUAGGCGGUUAUGCAAGUCGGGUGUGAAAGCCCCGGGCUCAACCCGGGAAGUGCAUUCGAUACUGCGUAGCUAGAGUACUGGAGAGGAUGGUGGAACUCUCGGUGUAGAGGUGAAAUUCGUAGAUAUCGAGAAGAACACCGGUGGCGAAGGCGGCCAUCUGGACAGAUACUGACGCUGAGACGCGAAAGCGUGGGGAGCAAACAGG